CCUACGAGUGGCAGCAGUGAGGAAUAUUGGUCAAUGGAGGCAACUCUGAACCAGCCAAGUAGCGUGCAGGAUGACGGCCCUAUGGGUUGUAAACUUCUUUUACGCGGGGAUAAACUGAGUCACGUGUGGCUUAUUGCAGGUACCGCAUGAAUAAGGACCGGCUAAUUCCGUGCCAGCAGCCGCGGUAAUACGGAAGGUCCGGGCGUUAUCCGGAUUUAUUGGGUUUAAAGGGCGCGCAGGCGGCCUCUUAAGAUUGUUGUGAAAUGCCGCGGCUCAACCGUGGCACUGCAGCGGGAACUGGGAGGCUUGAGAGCGGUGGAGGUAGGCGGAAUGCGUGGUGUAGCGGUGAAAUGCUUAGAUAUCACGAAGAACUCCGAUUGCGAAGGCAGCUUACCGUGGCGUUACUGACGCUGAGGCUCGAAGGUGCGGGUAUCGAACAGGAUUAGAUACCCCUGUAGUC
rnacentral:rRNA from 1 species